GUCUCUUCGGGGAUGAUUAAACCGGCGCACGGGUGAGUAACACGUGAGUGACCUGCCUUUUAGACUGGAACAACUUACCGAAAGGUGAGCUAAUGCCGGAUGAGUUAUAUAAGUGCAUGUUUAUAUAGGAAAAGUUGGGGAGACCUGACGCUGAAAGAUGGACUCGCGUCCCAUUAGCUAGUUGGUAGGGUAAUGGCCUACCAAGGCGACGAUGGGUAGCCGGCCUGAGAGGGUGGCCGGCCACACUGGGACUGAGACACGGCCCAGACUCCUACGGGAGGCAGCAGUGGGGAAUUUUGCGCAAUGCUCGUAAGAGUGACGCAGCGACGCCGCGUGAAUGACGAAGGCCUUCGGGUCGUAAAGUUCUUUCGACAGGGAAGAAAAUGCCUAUAAGUAACUGUGUAUGUAUUGACGGUACCUGUAUAAGCAGCCCCGGCUAACUCCGUGCCAGCAGCCGCGGUAAUACGGAGGGGGCGAGCGUUGUUCGGAGUGACUGGGCGUAAAGAGCACGUAGGCGGUGUUGUAAGUCAUUAGUCAAAGACUAGAGCUCAACUUUAGUAAGGCUAGUGAUACUAUAAUACUAGAGUAUCAGAGAGGAUUGCAGAAUUCCUGGUGUAGCGGUGAAAUGCGUAGAUAUCAGGAGGAAUACCGUUAGCGAAGGCGGCAAUCUGGCUGGAAACUGACGCUGAGGUGCGAAAGCGUGGGUAGCAAACAGGAUUAGAUACCCUGGUAGUCCACGCUGUAAACGAUGGAUGCUAGGUGUUGGGCUUUUAAGUUCAGUGCCGCAG
rnacentral:rRNA from 1 species